rnacentral:pre_miRNA from 1 species
ACAGCUGCUCUGUCUGGUGAAAAGUUAUUUUUUUCUAUAAAUAGAAAAAAGUAACUUUUCACCAGACAGAGCAGCUGU